rnacentral:ncRNA from 2 species
GCCAUCACAUAAGUCCCGGGCUAAGGGAAGAGGGUGCGAAUCCCUCGCGGUCCCGCCGCUGUAACUGGGGACGAAACCCGCUGAAGCCACUGUUCCUGACUGGAAUGGGAAGGCGCGGGGAGUAGGACGAUCCAGAAGCCAGAAGACCUGCCCGGUGACUGACCAUUCC